GUAAAUCCGAUCAUGGUCAAUUUUUUAAAUAAUUGUAAACUUUUAUUUAUAAGUAGCAGAAAACAAGGAUACAAAGGUCAGAAUUGCCACAGUCAAUAUAAGCUAUUGAGGAAGAAUACAUUAAUGCAUACAAAAAACAAAGGCAAUGGUAUCGCUGGCAGGCCCGUUAUUGAAUAAUGAUUGGUACAUACUUAAAAGUGGGUGUGUAUAAGAUAUAUCUAUUUUGCUCUUUCACAAAAUAAGUAGGAUCCGCUCUAAUUAGAUUUUUUUAAAAAGCGUGAAAACUCUAAUUAGGGCGGUUUUCACUUAUUUUGUGAGAGGGUAAAAAUGAGUGUGUUUUGUACACACCCAAAAGAGGGCGUGCACCUAUCACUAUUGCCCUUAUGUCUUCCUCGUUAGUAGAAUUUUUCGGAUUUGAUGCGCGAGAGCUCACGCCACCGGUGGGCGAUCUGGUUGUGAUCGAACAUACGAUAAUCCUCAAAAUUCAUGGGGUUGUAUAGACGAGAUAUUCUGAGUCUACCUACAGCUCCUCUGGUGGCCCUAAUGCCCCCAUCUUUGGGCCCAUCACAAACAUAGCAAUUGACAGGCCACUCUUCCUUCGUACAUUGUACAACGGUGCUUCACGCUCCAAAGUCUUUUCCAUUGCUCCAUUCUUAUCUGCCACAAAUAGUUUAAGAGGACCGAAAAUAUUAGUAUAAAUUUUUUUUUCACCACGAUUAAAAAAUAAUAUAGACAAUAAAACUAAAACUCAAAUAGCUAAUAAAUCUAAAAAGAAUGCCAAAACAAAAAAAUCAGCAAAAAAAAUAAAGAUAAACAAUGGAAUUAUAUUUAAAACAAUUUUUCUAUAAUACAUUAUUUUCAAAGUCGUAGCUUUUAUGAGAAGAAAGUUUAGACAUACCUGAGCACGGUCUCCAAGGUUUGGACACGAGGACCCGGGCCAUGGGAUCAGCAUGUAUAUUUCAAUUCACCGGUCUCCUGUGAAACUCGCUUCAGCCACCAUGAUUCGUCGUCCUGUAUAUGGUUAAAAAUCCAGAUCUGUAUGUAAUUCGGCACCUUUGAUUCCAACUAUUCAGGAGUGUAGUUUGGAUUUUAUUAAUUCGGAAGUUGACAAGGGGCCAUUCCAUUAAAUAGAUCCCCAGAUAACCCAAGCUCAAAUAGCAACUUCCCUUCUCCCCAUUCCAUGCCAAGCUCUUGUAUAGCUUUGAGUAUUUUGAUAUGAUCUCCCUGUAACUAAACAAAUAGCACAUGCAAUCAAAUUUAGAAAGCAGGACAUAAUCUUUUGUAUCUUUUUUAAUAAAUUAAAAUCGUCACUUUUAACAAACACGUAAUUUAAAAAUUCUCACUCCUCCACAUCUCACUAAGGAAUUUAAAAAGCGCCAGCCUUUAACUUUCUUUUGUUUCUCAAUAGCAAAUCAGAAAGAGAGGAGAGGACCUUUGCUGAGGAGUCAACACCACGCGAUCGAGAGUUCUCAAGUGCACCGGGGCAGGAGCCAUGUCCUAUGAGCCCACACCUCAAACAGGGCUGGCCUUGUUCCGUUCCGCGCGAGUGUAGCCUUUUCCCUGCACCGGAUGAGAAGUCCGCAGCUUAACCUCCCCCCAACCAAGAACGGGGGGGGAAAUAAAAGUCACAGCGCCCGUGACCCCGCCUUCAUAUCCAUCAUCAACGACACUGGAAUACUAUGAGUUCCUAUCCUAAACAGCCCCAAUCCCUACACCUUCCAUUAGUUUCUCACUCUCUGCCCGGAGAAAUCUUUCUGUCCAACACCGGGUACAAGAACCAUACCCAUAUUUGCAUCGCCAUUUUUUUCUCUCUCAUACUCUCUCUCUCGUCGCUCUCUCCUCUCUUUUCUUCUCGUACAAGGAUCUUGUCGUUGGUGUGGGGAUUUGUGAUGAAAUGUUUGGGUCCUUAUAGAGUUGUUUGGCGCUUUUUCCAGAAUGGUGAAAUUUGUUGCCUUUUCUGUACAAUAUUAAUUGUGUACCCAUUUCUUAAAUAUUUGGGUGUGUUGAGGUGGCUGCGAUAUUUGGCCGCCGUCGCCGGCGUCAGCAUGGGAAAUUUGACUCACGGUCUCUUGCCCAAAUGUUUAAAGUUGGAAAAGUUAGGCAUGUAAUUUCACAACAGUAAUACUUAGAUGAUCGCAUAAGGCUACCAUAUUUUCGUAGCAUGUGAUGGAAUGUGGUACAAGAGUGGGUGCACCACCGGUUUGUGGAUUAACUAAAAGAAAACGAACUGAAGUAAUAAUUCACAGAAUUAAGAACAAGAACAACUUAGCCUAGGGGAACUGAUCAAGUUCAGUUCAAAUAGUUAUUAAUCCGAUAGCAAAGCCAAAACAUUAAAUCUUAUAAUAACAUCUAAAGCCAAAAAUAAUACCAGCCCCCCCCACGUUGAAAAUAGCAUAACAUCCAGUAUACAGUAUAGUAAAAACACUAGCCAGUUCAGAUUAGUUUCGAAACAUGGUAUGUAAUAAAGAAUAGAACCGAACCAGAUAUAUAAACCAGUUUCUCUAAAUUUGAAAUCCAGACCGAAUCAUUUAAAUACCGUGUUACCCAUCAAUUUUUUUACAUUCACAGAGUAGUGUACAACCUUUUUUUGGUCUCUUUACAUGGGCGUUUGUGCUUUUCUUUCUUUCUUUGUAUAAUGGGUUGGAUUUGGUUUCAGACUCUCUCUUGCCAUGUCUUACCAAAGAAAAAGCCAUUAAUUGAAAGAAGUAUACCAUAUAUAUCAUCAUAACACAUUCCAUUAAAUAAUACAGAUGUUAGUUUCUUUUCUAAUAUCUUCAUUGCACAUGCCUAGCGUACAAGAAGUUUUUAGAGAGUGCUAGUUUUUCACAUUAAACCCAUAAUGUGAUUAGCUUAAACAGAAAACGGUUCCAUGUCAAGCAAUAAACCUCACUAUUCCAACAAAUGAUCAUCAGUUACCAUACAGUACCCAACAAAAUAGCAAUUUUCUCUCCAAAAUGGUAGUAGUUUGCGUUUGCGUGUUUGCUAGUAACAUCACUAAGAUAAUUUGUGUACCCUCUCAAUCUCUCUCGUACAGGUAUCUCCAUUAUAAACGUGAUUCCAUUACAACAACACAACACCUAGCCCUAACCAUAUUCACAACCUCAUUUUUUUUUUAACAUCCCUCUGUUAGUAAUUUUGCACUGUUUGUUUGUUCAACAACCAAAAGAUAAGCCGCAGUUUCGCCAUUCACAGGCUAUGAGAUCGCUAAUGAACUAAAUUUCCAAUCUUCACCUCAGAGACCAGUCAGGAUUUUGUAUAUUUAGGAGAACAUCUUGACCCACUUUCGCCAGAUUCAGGGAUUGUCAUUUUACCCUAAUUUUCCUGAAGCUUUAUAUGGAAGCCCAUAAGGAAAUGAAUCAUUAGUGAUCUAAUUUCCUUUCUAUGAUGCAACUUCGGUGACAGUGGGGUAGUGCCUCCAAACCUUAAAAUUAAAUGUGACACAAAAUCAUCAUCAAUUGUUUCAUUCCAACCCUCUCGUCUACCACUACAGCUCCGUUUGGAACCCACUUAAUUUGAAGUUUUGAUUGCCUUUUUGUGCUUAAAAUAAGCAAAAGCCCGUCAGAAUUAUUUUUUUUGCUUUGUGUAAGUUUUUGCUUAUUUGCUUAUUUUUACUAAGUAGAGCAGAAAAAUUAAAAAAGCACAAAUUUUUUAAUUUUUUCGAUAUAACCUUAAAAAAAAACUUGACUUUCAAGUAUUACCUAAACGUAGCGCCUAUAUUUUGGUACCAGGGUGAGCCAAAUUUCAUGUUUGUUGGCCACUAGCUAGGUGCAAGCAGUGGUCAAUCAGGGGCGGGCGAACAUUCAAGUUCCCAUUAAUUGUUAUUAAUUAAGCAUAGGAGUACGAGUAUAUGGCACAGCCUGCCUCGGAUAAGUUCAUUUUUUUCAAUGAACACGGAUCCGCUCAUAAAGGCAAAUUCGCUAAAAAUGAUAAAAUAUUCCCGGUACGAUGAUUGAUGUGUUGUAAGGGUUAAUCAAAAUCUUCAUUGCAUAGGUUAAUUUUGCAUGGUGCUUUAUGACUAAUUAGUAAAUAUGGGACCCAAUUUUGUAAGUUAAGAGAUUUGUUAAUUGAGGAAUAUAUGGGUUGUCCAAUGAAAAUGUUAAAAAUCUUGGUUACACCCAAUUAUUUUCUUACUAAUUGAAUACUAGCCACAGUUAACCAAUACUCUGGCAUUUGUAACACCGUUAACUUAUCUUUUAACAGUCCAUUGAAGCCAAAUAACGAUAUAGCAUGCAGUAACUAUGCGUCUAAUCUUAUAAUGCAAUUAAUGGGGCAUAAGAUACUCUAAGAUAUCAUUACAAGGUUCUUUCUCAAAACUUACUUUAAAUUUCAAGUCUAUAAAGCAAUUUGCACCAAAUUAACAAUGAUAAGAUCUCUCCAGUUGCAAAUAAAAUUUUUUUUAUUGUGUUAAAGUCCUUAAAUAGGCAAAAGUGAGUCCAAUUUAGUGGUAGAUACUGAUGUUUAACUAAUUAUGUACCAUGCAAACUCUAUUGCAUAGCAAACACAACUAUUGAACCACUAACAAAUUAUUAGUAACACCCAAUUGUCACCCUAAGAUCAUUACCCCUUACCCAUUUUAACGAAUUUUUAUACUUUUUAAUGUGAUUGGGCCCAUAUAGAAUUUUCUAAGGGUUUAUAAGAAAUAAUUUAUCCAGUAGUAUUUGUCAAUUUGUGUGACAAAUAUUGCUUUCUUGUAUUUCUUUUUCAUUUUCCGAGAGUGUUUUGAGAGAGCUAUUUUGAAUCUAUCUCCAAAAGUCUGUUAUGUGUCAAGUAUUAUUGGGGUCUAUUACAAUUCCGAACUUUCCGAAAAUUUUAAAAGGCUUAAUCGGCAAGAUCUGAAAAUUCAGAGUAGUUUACAUUUGAGAGCUGUGCAGUAUAAUUUGGUUAUGUACAUAAAAAUUAGCCUCGCAAUUUUAUAUAGAGGGGGCCUCCAAAUUCAUCUGCAGAGAGAGAGUUGGGUACUUGAGAGACUUGUAAAGAUGUUGAAAUAAAGUUUUUUGGGA
rnacentral:lncRNA from 1 species